rnacentral:rRNA from 1 species
CGGCAACGGAUAUCUCGGCUCUCGCAUCGAUGAAGAACGUAGCGAAAUGCGAUACUUGGUGUGAAUUGCAGAAUCCCGUGAACCAUCGAGUCUUUGAACGCAAGUUGCGCCCGAGGCCAUCAGGCCGAGGGCACGCCUGCCUGGGCGUCACACGCCGUUGCCCCC